rnacentral:lncRNA from 12 species
GAUCUUCAUGGGAAGAACAAGAAGCAACAUCUGUUUUUCAUCAAAACUCUCCUGUCAAGACUCCUGGAUGGCUCAGUUGGUCAAGUGUCUGACUCUUGGUUUCGGCUCAGGUCCUGAUCUUGGGGUGGUGGGAUUGAGCCUCACAUUGGGCUCUACAUUCAGCAUGGAGUCUGCUUGAAAUUCUCUCUUCCUCUCCCUCUGCCCCUCCUCUCCUUGCUCCUGCCUCUAAAAUAAAUAAAUAAAUAAAUCUUUAAAAACAAAUACACGACAAACCUCUCUUAUCCUAAGAGGUGUUGGCUUUGGUGGUGGGGACUCUGGUCCACCCCUCCCACAGGGGGCCUCCAGUCAGCCCAGGCCCACUGCUUUGAGGAAGGAGAGUCCAUGACUGUGCUUUUGGCUGGCUGGGCCACUGUGGGAGCAGAGGCAACAGUGGCAGGGCUUCUGGUCAGGCCACUCUCCCCAGAGAUGCCUCUGGCCCUCCGUUUGCCCUUUUGUCAUGGGAACAGUGGAUCCCUAGGGAACUUACUGUCUACAUCUGCAAGGAAAUGGCCAGGGACACUGGGGACCAGAGUGGUGCUAGUAGAGAAGCUGGGGCCCUUUGGAUUGUUUCCCUUCACAGAGAUAAUGAUGCUCUCAUAAACUCAAAUGAAAGAAGGCGCCCCCAACUCGAAGUUUGACAGUCUCCGAAGACCUGGGGGAGGCGGGUCCUGCUCCUCCUCAUCCCUGUCUUUGUGAAAUGAGAAAUGCACUGGCUCUACUUGGAAGCUGGUCUGAGGCCACACUCACACCGUUCAUACAGGGGGUCCCUACGAAGACUGUUCUUGGCUCUUUAAAGCAGAAGACCCCCCAGGGACCAGCAGCAGGGUCAGUCAGGUUUGUGUCCUGGUCCCUCCAGCAGGCAUGGCCGUCUGUCCAGGGCAGUGUCAGGGGAAUCCUGCAGCCUGAAAAUGCUUUCCCCUCCGGGCCUGAGUAAACAGAUGGGGACUCCUGGCUCUGGGUGCCCCCUGGGACCCUGUGAAGCUUGGAGGCGAGAAAUUGUACCAGGAUGGAGACAGAGAUGGAGACGGGAGGGAAGCUCCUCCAGGACAAGGAGGCUGAACUUCAGAAGGACUCACAGGAGCCAGAACUCUCAAGCCAGGUGGCUGAUGUGGGAUCGUGCCAACCUGGAACCCUGUGGCCACGUGGAGAAGGCUCAUUUGCAGAGGGAGGGACAGAGAAGGAGGGAGACAGAAAUGCCCCAUAGCCUCUGCUUGGUCUCUGGACCCCAGCUCCCCGCUGCUGGAAACUUCCUUCCUGGGGUUGUUCGAGACAGGAAGCCGUGGGACAACUAUCGGUCGAUGAGUCCCGGAUGUGACCGCUUCUGUGAAGCGUGCCACCUAGCCGGAUGGUUUCACCAUAACGUGUGAGUCCUUGCUGGGGGCAAGCCAGUGCUGGGGCCGUACUGAGGCUGCGCUGUUGCAGUGCAGGGAGCACCUGCCAUCCGCCUCUCCAUGGGCUUGGGCCUCUCCCAGCUGUGGCCGGGUCCAGAGAGGGAGCUUCCAGGAGGAGCUGGCGUUCCAGGAGCAUCUGGUGAGGGCUGCCCGGGUUUCGGCUGAGGGAGGAAGCGGCCAGAGCCCACCCCGCUCUGGGGAGACGGACAGAGACCCCACCACCCCAAGGAAAGAGGGUCCCAGACUUCAGGGUCAUGUUUUAUUGCUGCCACACGUGAGCUCCUAAGACCUCUUCAAGCCAGGAAUGUAGCUUCGUGCAAAAAUUCCUAAGGAAGAACACACUUCUGUCCUUUGUGUCGGGGGACAGUGGGGACCAGCUCUGCAGUGCUAGGAGUGCAUGGUGACCUCUGGAGUGCACCAGGAAACCUGGAGCUCUCCAGAUCUUUACACCGCCCAGCCUUCAAGCUGGCUCCCUGCUGCCACUGAGAGAGAGUGCCGUCCAACUGUGAAAGCACUAAAAAAAAAAAAAAACAAAAAAAAAAAACCCAAGGCAAAAGUCAUGAAACAUAAAUACAAACCUUUCUAAAAGACACAAUUUGGUGGCAUCUCACACAUUCACCAUGUUCCAGGACUACCUUCUGUGUCUGGCUCCGGAACAGCCAUAUCACCCCUCCCCUCCCUGGGAACCACCCCUCGGCCUCUCCUCUCCAGGGACUGGCUGGUUCUGGACACUUCGUUUGCAAGGAAUCAUAGAGCACGUGGCCUCUGUGUCUGCUUUCCUGCCCUGGCAUCGUGUUUCCAGGCUCGUCCACGGCUGAGUGAUGCUCUGCUGGAUGGGCAGGUCCUGUUGUGUUUAUCCAUCUGCCCGUGGAGGGACAUCUGGAUCGUUUUCAAAUUUUGGCCAUUGUGAAUUGUGCUGCUCUGAAGGAUUGUGUGGAGGUUUUUGUUCGAAUGUCUGUUUUCAAUUAUUUUGGGA